AAAGGGCAGGUGACAUAAAGUGAGUGAAACCAUUUCAUGCUAUUUCCAGUCAAAGGAUCUGUCUGGUGCACUCAGUAAAACUCACAGUCCUGAAAUAAACCUAUCACAUGAAAUAUCUGUUUUCUUCCCUAGAGGAAAUGAAGGAUCUAAUCAAUCAGAGGAAGGGAGGGAAGAACAGUCAGGAGCUGCAAAGGCUGAGGCUGGAGAAUGAGAAGGACGAACUGCAGGUGGCACUGGAGGAAGCAGAGUCUUCCUUGGAGGUAUCAAUGCUGCAGAUGUGAGAGAUUCCUGCCAGCCUGGAGCCUGCUGCCCACAUCCCACCAGAUGGAUUUGGAGAGUCUGGAGACUGAAGGGGAGUGCUGAAGAUCUCUGCCUGGAAAUGAUGGACACUGACCUGAGCAGAAUGGAAAUGCAGCUGGAUUGUGCUAGCAGGAACAACAGUGAGCUUGUCCUGACCUGAACAAACUGCAACAGCAUGGCCAGCUUUACUCCUAGCAAGGCUUAAGAAGAGACUUUUAACAAGUUUGGUGGAACAGUUAAGACCCUGCUGAGGGAAAAGCCACCCUGAAAUGGACAGCAUAAAAUUCUGCCUCCACUGAAACCAGAGUUUUACAGUUGUUUCCAUGGUGCUCAGAUUUCUCCCAUGGACUGCAGCCCCCCAGUGAGAUCCAUUGUAGUGAAAUUUGAAGCCUCCUUGCAUUACAGAGUGCAGAAUGAAAUAACAUACCUGCCACUUCAGCUUGUGCACAGAUUUAUGAAGCCACUUUAGCAUCCACCAUUAGAGUCUGCAGCACUUUUCCAUCAAGACCACCCAUGAUAACAUUUCCAAGGAGAAGAGUGUGACUUCUGGAAAGGACUGAUAACCCAAGAAGCACUUCUCAGCAGCAAUUAUGGGACAUUGCUUAUAAAAACUGAGUUGUAAAUGUGGCUUUUAUUCAAACAGGAUAAAAAAUACAACCAAUACAUUCCCCUCCAAUUGACCUAUAAUAAAAGAUACAUUUUAAGCAGGUGAGCUGCUAUCUCCAUACUAAAUUGGGGGUUUAAAACUUAUUUGUUGUAUAAAACCCACAUAGCACUGAAGCUGUGCAGCAUUGUGGAACACUGUGGCACAUUUACAUGAUGUUGUUUUGCUGAAGAGCA